UUGAUUUGUGGAAGGAACUGCAACUGCACCUUCAACUACCUUCAACCGACACUGAGUGCCACUACGAUAUCUGACAGCACUGCGCCUUUCUAGCCAUGCUCUGGCCCUCCCAAUGUGUCUGCAAAUAUAUAGAUGAAAGAUGGUUCUUAGGCUAACAAUCGGAUUGCUUAUUGCCAUAGGUACGAGUACGAGUACGAGUUUAACAAGUGAGCGGUACGAAUUAUAAACUGUAGCCAGUUGGCCGCGACUCUACAGAUGAUUUGUCUGUUGCUGUGUAAAAAAAAAAAA